UUUAAGUACUUUUUCGGG
rnacentral:snRNA from 1 species